GACGAACGCUGGCGGCGUGCUUAACACAUGCAAGUCGAGCGGUAAGGCCCUUCGGGUACGACGAGCGGCGAACGGCUGAGUAACACGUGGGUGACCUGCCUCUAGCUCUGGGAUAAGCCUGGGAAACUGGGUCUAAUACCGGAUAUGACUCCACGGCGCAUGUUGUGGGGUGGAAAGCCUUGUGUGGCUAGAGAUGGGCCCGCGGCCUAUCAGCUUGUUGGUGGGGUGAUGGCCUACCAAGGCGACGACGGGUAGCCGGCCUGAGAGGGCGACCGGCCACACUGGGACUGAGACACGGCCCAGACUCCUACGGGAGGCAGCAGUGGGGAAUCUUGCGCAAUGGGCGAAAGCCUGACGCAGCGACGCCGCGUGAGGGAUGACGGCCU
rnacentral:rRNA from 1 species